UGGUCGUGCUCGGAUUCGAACCGAGGUUAGUGGAAUCAGAAUCCACAGUGAUAACCUCUACACUACACAACC
rnacentral:tRNA from 1 species